GAUGAACGCUAGCGGGAGGCCUAACACAUGCAAGCCGAGCGGUAUUGUUUCUUCGGAAAUGAGAGAGCGGCGUACGGGUGCGGAACACGUGUGCAACCUGCCUUUAUCUGGGGGAUAGCCUUUCGAAAGGAAGAUUAAUACUCCAUAAUAUAUUGAACGGCAUCGUUUAAUAUUGAAAGCUCCGGCGGAUAGAGAUGGGCACGCGCAAGAUUAGCUAGUUGGUGAGGUAACUGCUCACCAAGGCGAUGAUCUUUAGGGGGCCUGAGAGGGUGAUCCCCCACACUGGUACUGAGACACGGACCAGACUCCUACGGGAGGCAGCAGUGAGGAAUAUUGGUCAAUGGGUGCAAGCCUGAACCAGCCAUCCCGCGUGAAGGACGACUGCCCUAUGGGUUGUAAACUUCUUUUGUAUAGGGAUAAACCUACCCUCGUGAGGGUAGCUGAAGGUACUAUACGAAUAAGCACCGGCUAACUCCGUGCCAGCAGCCGCGGUAAUACGGAGGGUGCAAGCGUUAUCCGGAUUUAUUGGGUUUAAAGGGUCCGUAGGCGGACUUAUAAGUCAGUGGUGAAAGCCUGUCGCUUAACGAUAGAACUGCCAUUGAUACUGUAAGUCUUGAGUAUAUUUGAGGUAGCUGGAAUAAGUAGUGUAGCGGUGAAAUGCAUAGAUAUUACUUAGAGCACCAAUUGCGAAGGCAGGUUACCAAGAUAUAACUGACGCUGAGGGACGAAAGCGUGGGGAGCGAACAGGAUUAGAUACCCUGGUAGUCCACGCCGUAAACGAUGCUAACUCGUUUUUGGGCUUUAGGGUUCAGAGACCAAGCGAAAGUGAUAAGUUAGCCACCUGGGGAGUACGCUCGCAAGAGUGAAUCUCAAAGGAAUUGACGGGGGCCCGCACAAGCGGUGGAUUAUGUGGUUUAAUUCGAUGAUACGCGAGGAACCUUACCAAGACUUAAAUGGGAAUUGACAGCUUUAGAAAUAGAGCUUUCUUCGGACAAUUUUCAAGGUGCUGCAUGGUUGUCGUCAGCUCGUGCCGUGAGGUGUUAGGUUAAGUCCUGCAACGAGCGCAACCCCUGUCACUAGUUGCCAUCAUUCAGUUGGGGACUCUAGUGAGACUGCCUACGCAGGUAGAGAGGAAGGUGGGGAUGACGUCAAAUCAUCACGGCCCUUACGUCUUGGGCCACACACGUAAUACAAUGGCCGGUACAGAGGGCAGCUACACAGCGAUGUGAUGCAAAUCUCGAAAGCCGGUCUCAGUUCGGAUUGGAGUCUGCAACUCGACUCUAUGAAGCUGGAAUCGCUAGUAAUCGCGCAUCAGCCAUGGCGCGGUGAAUACGUUCCCGGGCCU
rnacentral:rRNA from 1 species